rnacentral:rRNA from 2 species
AACGAACGCUGGCGGCAUGCCUAACACAUGCAAGUCGAACGAACCCUUCGGGGUUAGUGGCGCACGGGUGCGUAACGCGUGGGAACCUGCCUUUAGGUUCGGAAUAACAGUUAGAAAUGACUGCUAAUACCGGAUGAUGUCUUCGGACCAAAGAUUUAUCGCCUUUAGAUGGGCCCGCGUUGGAUUAGCUAGUUGGUGGGGUAAAGGCCUACCAAGGCGACGAUCCAUAGCUGGUCUGAGAGGAUGAUCAGCCACACUGGGACUGAGACACGGCCCAGACUCCUACGGGAGGCAGCAGUGGGGAAUAUUGGACAAUGGGCGCAAGCCUGAUCCAGCAAUGCCGCGUGAGUGAUGAAGGCCUUAGGGUUGUAAAGCUCUUUUACCAGGGAUGAUAAUGACAGUACCUGGAGAAUAAGCUCCGGCUAACUCCGUG